rnacentral:rRNA from 1 species
AGAGUUUGAUCCUGGCUCAGAUUGAACGCUGGCGGAAUGCUUUACACAUGCAAGUCGAACGGCAGCACGGGAGCUUGCUCCUGGUGGCGAGUGGCGAACGGGUGUGUAACAUAUCGGAACAUAUCCUAUCGUGGGGGAUAACUAGUCGAAAGACUAGCUAAUACCGCAUACGUCCUGAGGGAGAAAGCGGGGGCUCGCAAGACCUCGCGCGAUUGGAGUGGCCGAUAUCUGAUUAGCUAGAUGGUGAGGUAAAAGCUCACCAUGGCGACGAUCAGUAGCUGGUCUGAGAGGAUGAUCAGCCACACUGGGACUGAGACACGGCCCAGACUCCUACGGGAGGCAGCAGUGGGGAAUUUUGGACAAUGGGCGAAAGCCUGAUCCAGCCAUUCCGCGUGAGUGAAGAAGGCCUUCGGGUUGUAAAGCUCUUUCGGCAGGAACGAAACGGUGGGUUC